ACUGCCUGCCCAGUGACACCUGUUCAACGGCCGCGGUAUUAUGACCGUGCAAAGGUAGCGUAAUCACUUGUCUUUUAAAUAAAGACCUGUAUGAAUGGCAAAACGAGAACUCAACUGUCUCCUCAGACUAGUCAGUGAAAUUGAUAUUCCCGUGAAGAAGCAGGGAUAAAAAUAUAAGACGAGAAGACCCUAUGGAGCUUUAAACCAAAAUUAACCAUGAUUAAUAACUUUUAAAAAUGGACUUAGUCAUUAGGCUUUAGGUUGGGGCGACCACGGGGUAAAAAACAACCCCCGAGAUAAAAAUUAAGAAGGACACUUCAAGAAAUAGUAAUAUUAAUAUAAUUGACCCAUUAAAUGAUCAACGAACCAAGUUACCCUAGGGAUAACAGCGCAAUCCUUUCACAGAGUUCCUAUCGACGAACGGGUUUACGACCUCGAUGUUGGAUCAGGACCCCCAAAUGGUGCAAAAGCUAUUAAAGG
rnacentral:rRNA from 1 species